GGAAGUAAAAGUCGUAACCAGGUUUCCGUAGGUGAACCUGCGGAAGGAUCAUUACAGUAGUCACCCGGGGCGCCGCAAGGCCUCCCGGGUAACCUACCACCCUUUGUUUAUUACACUUUGUUGCUUUGGCAGGCCUGCCCUCGGGCUGCUGGCUCCGGCCGGCGAGCGCUUGCCAGAGGACCUAAACUCUGUUUGUCUAUACUGUCUGAGUACUAUAUAAUAGUUAAAACUUUCAACAACGGAUCUCUUGGUUCUG
rnacentral:misc_RNA from 1 species